rnacentral:rRNA from 1 species
AGUCGCGGGAGAAGGGGCCCUUCGGGGCCCCGGAGACCGGCGGAUGGGUGAGUAACGCGUAGGUAAUCUGCCUUUAGCACGGGAAUAACCCACCGAAAGGUGAGCUAAUGCCCGAUGAUGCAGCGGCCCCGCAUGGGGACAGUUGUUAAAGCCUUCGGGCGGCUAAAGAUGAGCCUGCGUGCCAUUAGUUAGUUGGUAGGGUCAAAGCCUACCAAGACGAUGAUGGCUAGGGGGUCUGAGAGGAUGAUCCCCCACACUGGGACUGAGACACGGCCCAGACUCCUACGGGAGGCAGCAGUGAGGAAUCUUGCGCAAUGGGGGCAACCCUGACGCAGCCACGCCGCGUGCUGGAAGGCGGCCCUAUGGGUUGUAAACAGCUUUUGGUCGGGAAGAACCCCGGAGUUUCGACUCCGGCUGACGGUACCGAUUGAAUAAGCACCGGCUAACUCCGUGCCAGCAGCCGCGGUAAUACGGAGGGUGCAAGCGUUGUCCGGAAUCAUUGGGUGUAAAGGGUGUGCAGGCGGAAGUCUAAGUCGGAGGUGAAAUCUUGCCGCUUAACGGUAAAAGUGCCUUCGAAACUGGAUUU